UAGGGAAUCUUCGGCAAUGGGGCGACCUACGACCGAGCAACGCCGCGUGAGUGAAGAAGGUUUUCGGAUCGUAAAACUCUGUUGUUAGAGAAGAAUGUGUAGGAGAGUAAAAAGUUCUUACAGUGACGGUAUCUAACCAGAAAGGGACGGCUAACUACGUGCCAGCAGCCGCGGUAAUACGUAGGUCCCAAGCGUUGUCCGGAUUUAUUGGGCGUAAAGCGAGCGCAGGUGGUUUAAUAAGUCUGAUGUAAAAGGCAGUGGCUACAACCAUUGUAUGCAUUGGAAACUGAUGACUUGAGUACAGUAGAGGAGAGUGGAAUUCCAUGUGUAGCGGUGAAAUGCGUAGAUAUAUUGGAGGAACACCGGUGGCGAAAGCGGCUCUCUGGACUGUGACUGACACUGAGGCUCGAAAGCGUGGGGUAGCAAAACA
rnacentral:rRNA from 1 species